rnacentral:misc_RNA from 1 species
AAGUCGUAACAAGGUUUCCGUAGGUGAACCUGCGGAAGGAUCAUUAGUGAAAAUACCCUUUGCAUAUGGGUUGCUUCAACCUGUAUCCACCUUUGUGAAUUGUUUUUUUUGUUACGUAGCCUUAAAGAGCAAUCCUUAGGGCUAUUAACAAGCUUGAAAUUUUUGUUUGGCUGAAACUUUUGGUUUACAAAACAAAUCAAAUACAACUUUCAACAACGGAUCUCUUGGCUCCU